rnacentral:rRNA from 1 species
UUUCCGUAGGUGAACCUGCGAAAGGAUCAUUGUCGAAACCU